AAGAGUUUACCAUGUGCCUGAUUUUGGUGUCUGGGAAAGAGGAAGCAAAUAUAAUAAUGGCAGCACAGAGCUACAUUCGAGCUCUGUUGGCUUAGCAAAAGCAGCUCUAGAAGCAAUUAAUGGAUUCAACCUCUUUGGCAACCAGGGCUGUUCUUGGUCGGUUAUAUUUGUGGAUCUCGAUGCUCACAAUCGCAAUAGGCAAACUUUGUGCUCACUCUUACCCAGAGAAUCAAGAUCUCAUAACACAGAUGCUGCCCUGCUCCCCUGCAUCACUUAUCCUGCAUUUGCCCUGGAUGAUGAAGUUCUGUUUAGCCAGACACUUGAUAAAGUGGUUAGAAAAUUAAAAGGAAAAUAUGGAUUUAAACGUUUCUUGAGAGAUGGAUAUAGAACAUCACUGGAAGAUC